rnacentral:rRNA from 1 species
CAGUCGCCGCGGUAAUACGUAGGUGGCAAGCGUUGUCCGGAAUUAUUGGGCGUAAAGGGCUCGCAAGCGGUUUCUUAAGUCUGAUGUGAAAGCCCCCGGCUCAACCGGGGAGGGUCAUUGGAAACUGGGAAACUUGAGUGCAGAAGAGGAGAGUGGAAUUCCACGUGUAGCGGUGAAAUGCGUAGAGAUGUGGAGGAACACCAGUGGCGAAGGCGACUCUCUGGUCUGUAACUGACGCUGAGGAGCGAAAGCGUGGGGAGCGAACAGGAUUAGAUACCCCAGUAGUCCCUGUCUCUUAUAC